GAUCCUGGCUCAGAAUCAACGCUGGCGGCGUGCCUCAGACAUGCAAGUCGAACGAUUAAAGCUCUCUUCGGAGAGUGUAUAGAGUGGCGCACGGGUGAGUAACACGUAAGUAAUCUACCCUCGAGUGGGGAAUAACAACCGGAAACGGUUGCUAAUACCGCAUAAUGCAGCGGCACCGCAAGGUGACAGUUGUUAAAGAUUUAUCGCUUGAGGAGGAGCUUGCGGCAGAUUAGCUAGUUGGUAGGGUAACGGCUUACCAAGGCUACGAUCUGUAACCGGUCUAAGAGGACGGUCGGUCACACUGACACUGAAUAACGGGUCAGACUCCUACGGGAGGCAGCAGUCGGGAAUUUUGGGCAAUGGGCGAAAGCCUGACCCAGCAACGCCGCGUGAAGGAUGAAGUAUUUCGGUAUGUAAACUUCGAAAGAAUAGGAAGAAUUAAUGACGGUACUAUUUAUAAGGUCCGGCUAACUACGUG
rnacentral:rRNA from 1 species